AUAUGUAGACAGGGCCUUAAAUAUACCAUAUCACAUCAGAUCUCUCAAAUUGAGAAGUCUGGGCACGGUCAGUACUGGGAUGAGAAGCCUCCAAGGAAAAACAGUGUGCUGCAGGAA
ensembl:rRNA 5S_rRNA 5S ribosomal RNA